AUAUGCAUUGUUGGAGUUAAAAAUAACUCUGAAGGGAUGGAUACAAUAAUCAACAAUCUACAAUAGCAACCGUAUUUGCCAAACCAUCCUCUUGACAUCGCUAGUUCAUCAAAAAAAAUUCUCCAAUAGCUACGCCUUCAUCUCCAACAGCUACGCCUUCAGGAAGAGAACGAUACUCAAGCACAGUCCUGUUAGGUCACAGUAGCACCCUCGCGCAUGCCUACCUUCCAACCUCAUCUGCCCCAACGAUCACAUGGCUUUGCGUCCCUACGAUGCCACCGUUGGUAGCACCCGGCGCCGCAUCAUUUUCCUAUCUCAUAUGCGGACAGUUCCCUCACUUUUCAAGCUUUAUACGCCACUUAUUUCCCGACUAGACUAUAUAUAUGCACACGCUCUAUAUGUUCUGUCACCAAAAGAAUAACGUGGAUAAGACUUUGGUGAUGCUGGAAAGAAAAUUCACAACACUCGUGCGGUCGAUGCCUAGCCAGAGAUAUAUACCAAAAGAAAGAAAACAUAGAACCUUUAAAUGCCGUGGGAAUGGAAGAGCUAACCUUAAUCCAGUGUAAGGGUGGCUUGUGCUGAGUUCUCGCGGGAGGUAGACGAAGUACCACCUGCCUUGGGGCGAGUAUAUGUAAGACAUCAUUGAAUAGUCAAGGCCAAGGGAGGCAAGUGGUUAGUAACUCUUGUCCUCAACCUUCAGCCAAGCUGUGAGCAUGCCAUGUGACGCGCGCGGUGCUACACCACUCACCUCAGGUACCACUUGGGCAGUAGCUUCCGAGAAGGUGCACUUGGGCAUCACUUAUCUUCCAAGAAGAAAUAUCAGCAUCAUGUGGACGAAAUUUGUGUGGGC
rnacentral:lncRNA from 1 species